rnacentral:rRNA from 1 species
ACGGCGAGUGAAGAGGGAAGAGCCCAAGAUUGAAAGCUGGCGCCUUCGGCGUCCGCAUUGUAAUCUCAAGAAGUGUUUUCCGCUUCGGACCAUGCCUAAGUCCCUUGGAAAAGGGCAUCAUAGAGGGUGAUAAUCCCGUACAUGGCAUGGAGCGCCCGAAGCUUUGUGAUACGCUUUCUAAGAGUCGAGUUGUUUGGGAAUGCAGCUCAAAAUGGGUGGUAAAUGCCAUCUAAGGCUAAAUAUUGGGGAGAGACCGAUAGCGAACAAGUACAGUGAUGGAAAGAUGAAAAGAACUUUGAAAAGAGAGUUAAACAGUACGUGAAAUUGCCAAAAGGGAAGGGUAGGAGGUCAGAGAUGCGUCGCAGGAUUCAGCCUUGCUUUUGCUUGGUGUUUUUCCUGCGUUGCAGGCCAACGUCGGUUUUGGGCACUGGAGAAGGGUAGGAGGAACGUGGCACCUCUCGGGGUGUGUUAUAGCCUCCUACUGGAUACAGCGACCGAGACCGAGGAACGCAGCGUACUCGUAAGAGCGGGCCUUUUGGCACCUUUACGCUUAGGGCGUUGGCAUAAUGGCCCUCUACCACCCGUCUUGAAACACGGACCA